CGCCAGCCCGCUCAGAAACUCGAAGGAAUUGACGGGGGCCCGCACAAGCGGAGGAACAUGUGGUUUAAUUCGAUGAUACGCGAGGAACCUUACCCGGGCUUGAAAUGCAUCUGACCGGCCUUGAAAGAGGUUUUUCCCUUCGGGCAGAUGUGUAGGUGCUGCAUGGUUGUCGUCAGCUCGUGCCGUGAGGUGUCGGCUUAAGUGCCAUAACGAGCGCAACCCUCAUCAUUAGUUACCAUCAGGUAAGGCUGGGGACUCUAAUGAGACUGCCAUCGUAAGAUGUGAGGAAGGUGGGGAUGACGUCAAAUCAGCACGGCCCUUACGUCCGGGGCGACACACGUGUUACAAUGGGUGGUACAAAGGGCAGCUACCUGGCGACAGGAUGCUAAUCUCCAAAACCACUCUCAGUUCGGAUCGGAGUCUGCAACUCGACUCCGUGAAGCUGGAUUCGCUAGUAAUCGCGCAUCAGCCACGGCGCGGUGAAUACGUUCCCGGGCCUU
rnacentral:rRNA from 1 species